rnacentral:rRNA from 1 species
ACGCACGCUGGCGGCGUGCUUCACACAUGCAAGUCGAACGGGCCCGCUCUCUUUUUUGGGGGUGGGUUGAGUGGCGAACGGGUGAGUAUCACGUGAGUAACCUGCCCCCUGCUCCUGGAUAACUGCUUGAAAGGGCGGCUAAUACGGGGUGUGCCGGCUGGUCCGCAUGGGCCUGGUCGGGAUAGUUUCAUCUUCGGGUGUUUCGGUGGGGGAUGGGCUCGCGGCCUAUCAGCUUGUUGGUGGGGUGAUGGCCCACCAAGGCGGUGACGGGUAGCCGGCCUGAGAGGGUGGGCGGCCACACUGGGACUGAGACACGGCCCAGACUCCUGCGGGAGGCAGCAGUGGGGGGUAUUGCACAAUGGGCGGAAGCCUGAUGCAGCGACGUCGCGUGAGGGAUGGAGGCCUUCGGGUUGUGAACCUCUUUCUCCGGUGGUGAAGGCCCUGUCCGUUGCGGCGGGGUUGACGGUAGCCGGGUAUGAAGCGCCGGCUAACUACGUG